rnacentral:rRNA from 1 species
AUUGACCGCUGGCGGCAGGCUUAACACAUGCAAGUCGAGAGAGCGGCGGACGGGUGAGUAAUGUCUGGGAAACUGCCUGAUGGAGGGGGAUAACUACUGGAAACGGUAGCUAAUACCGCAUACAAUCAGAUGUGCCCAGAUGGGAUUAGCUAGUAGGUGGGGUAAGGGCUCACCUAGGCGACGAUCCCUAGCUGGUCUGAGAGGAGGACCAGCCACACUGGAACGUAGACACGUUCCAGACUCCUACGGGAGGCAGCAGUGGGGAAUAUUGCAAAAUGGGCGCAAGCCUUAUGCAGCCAUGCCGCGUGUGUGAAGAAGGCCUUCGGGUUGUAAAGCACUUUCAGCGAGGAGGCGUUACUCGCAGAAGAGGCACCGCCUAACUCCGUGCGAGCAGCCGCGGUAAUAC